UACAUGACCUUUGUUCUGAAUUUUGCUGGA
rnacentral:piRNA from 1 species